CCGUUAUGGAGAUAAAAACAAAAUAUGAAAAAACAACAACCGAUGUUUAGCUCCCAAAAAGUAUAUUAACAUUCCACUGACAUAUGAAGCCGACUCAAUUAGCUGGGUCCUUUUCAUAACUCAAAUUAUUCAGGAAAAAGCAUAUUUGCUUGCCGCCAUUUUCAACUCCAGUACUCUUCAGUCCCUUCAAUUUUCUGUAACCCUUAUCGGUGCCAAAAAUCCAGUCCAUAUAGACAAAAGUUGAUGAGUAGUUUCCAGAUUUAGUAUAUAGCAAGCGGUGGUGAUAGUCAUGGAAAUCAGCACCCCCAUACAAAGGUAUAAAGUUGGAAAGGCUCCAUGGGAAGUGGUAACCACAGUGUGCUUCAACUGUCUCCAGAACUCUUAGCACCAUCCAUAACCACAAAGUCAUCAGAUGGGGACCAGUGAUGGCAGGACCAAUAAUGGUAGCAAAUCCAAGAAACAGUAUCUCAGCAGGGUGAGCAUAUUCAGAUGUCAGUCCAAAUGGUGUAGCAUAUUCAUGGUGGACACUAUGCACAUUCUUAUACAGCCACUUUGUAUGCAGAAUCCGAUGACCCCAGUAGAAGACAAAAUCUUCCAGGAUGAAGUAGAAUAUUAUCUGCAUUAGAACUACUUUCCAGGACGGCAAUGGAAGACUACUUCGCAUGCCCAUGUAUUUGAAUACAGGAUAGGAGAGUAGCAUAACUGGUAGAUUGACACCAAAAUGAUACAAAAGCAAUUGAGUAAUGCAUUUCUCCUGUGCUGCAGUACUGUUGUUUUUGGUCUGAAUUUUGUACUUGCUCAGCCAACCUGCCCUUUCAAGAUAUAUGAAUGGAAGUCCAGAUAAGAAGAAGACACUUUCAUGAAGAAAAAAGCUUCCUAGGCACGCCAGCUGAAAGUCACUGAAAUGUGUAAUCAAAUACAGCCAGCCAGAUUCGAUGAGGGAAGCCAUGAAGAUGGAUUUGGUGAAUUGGCAAUGGGCAGAGAAGAGGCAACAGUAAGAGUG
rnacentral:misc_RNA from 1 species